rnacentral:rRNA from 1 species
CUGGGCGUAAAGAGCUCGUAGGUGGUUUGUCGCGUUGUUCGUGAAAUCUCACGGCUUAACUGUGAGCGUGCGGGCGAUACGGGCAGACUUGAGUACUGCAGGGGAGACUGGAAUUCCUGGUGUAGCGGUGGAAUGCGCAGAUAUCAGGAGGAACACCGGUGGCGAAGGCGGGUCUCUGGGCAGUAACUGACGCUGAGGAGCGAAAGCGUGGGGAGCGAGCAGGAUUAGAUACCCUGGUAGUCCACGCCGUAAACGGUGGGUACUAGGUGUGGGUUUCCUUCCUUGGGAUCCGUGCCGUAGCUAACGCAUUAAGUACCCCGCCUGGGGAGUACGGCCGCGAGGCUAAAACUCAAAGAAAUUGACGGGGGCCCGCACAAGCGGCGGAGCAUGUGGAUUAAUUCGAUGCAACGCGAAGAACCUUACCUGGGUUUGACAUGCACAGGACGCCGGCAGAGAUGUCGGUUCCCUUGUGGCCUGUGUGCAGGUGGUGCAUGGCUGUCGUCAGCUCGUGUCGUGAGAUGUUGGGUUAAGUCCCGCAACGAGCGCAACCCUUGUCUCAUGUUGCCAGCGGGUAAUGCCGGGGACUCGUGAGAGACUGCCGGGGUCAACUCGGAGGAAGGUGGGGAUGACGUCAAGUCAUCAUGCCCCUUAUGUCCAGGGCUUCACACAUGCUACAAUGGCCGGUACAAAGGGCUGCGAUGCCGCGAGGUUAAGCGAAUCCUUUUAAAGCCGGUCUCAGUUCGGAUCGGGGUCUGCAACUCGACCCCGUGAAGUCGGAGUCGCUAGUAAUCGCA